AUUUUCCCCAGGGGAGACAAAGAUGCUGCCAGCGGAGGCAUCUCCUGCAUGCUCCUGCUCCAGUGCCCACAGCCCUGGCUGCACCACAGGGAGGAGAAGCUCCUGCCUGCAGCCCCUCACAUCUCAUGCGAUGCCUUGCACAACACAGCCUUGAGUGCUAGAAAUGAAAUUGCCUCUGGACAAGCCUGGACUGAGACUACAAGGAAGGAUUUGACAAUUAAUCUGGGAAAGCAGCUCCUGGGGUGGCUUAAUGAGCACCAGUGACACCAAGAGUUAGCAGCUCCGUCUUGCAGGUUCCUUGCCCUCUUCCCAGACUGACAAAGACCCACAGGAGGUAUCAUAACUGUUCAGAUGGGAGAACAGAGGGCUGUCCUAUUGGUCAUUUUAAUAUGACAAUAAGCUAGGACCUAUGUAUGCUGGGCCAUUCCUGAAUCAUAUGGAAUCUGGAAUCUUGUAAUAUCUUGUAUGCAGAGUGCCUCAGAGCAAGACAAGAAGGACCUCAGCAAGCUGCUGUGUGCACGCUGGAAGGCUUGGGAGCCCCGGCAUUUCCUGGAGAGGUUUUCUGUGAUGAGUACAGGGCGAAGGAGAUUAAGCAGGUCUCCUUGGCUGGUUUCCUUCAGAUCCUCCAAAGAUACUACUUCUGCACUUGGCAGGGGGCCACAGAGAGCAGAGACGGAGUUAAGCACGGCUCUGACACCAAUUUCAAGUCUGAAAAUGCCCGUUGUUUUUUUUUUCUGCACAAAGGUAUUUAUGGAAUGCAAGAGACUGUGGGUCCAAACUGUGCCCCAAAUUAUACUGCCUGCUUCCUCCUGGGACAAUGCCUUAGGUGGGGUAGUUUCUUUAUGCUAGGAACUCCAUAAGAUGUCAUCACAUUUGUUUGGGAGUGCUUGAGGUCUCCCAGCUCACCAUUUUUGCUCUUACCUUAGAAGCUAUAGAUUUCUUUUAACUCUCUAGCCAAUCUGAGUUAAUACACUGUGAGAGAGAAUAAUGCGUUUCUGAGUGGCAUGUUUUAAUGUAAUGGUCGACUGCUUUUUGUCUUUGGACAGAUCUUCAUUUUGUAACGUCCUGUGAGACUGAGAUACUUAGAUACAAGUUACUUACUUGUGAACACAUCUUUUUUUGUUGUUGUUUGUUUGUUCUACAUGAAUUAUUCUGUUUUGAAUACAGUUGAAUAUGUUGUCCUACAUGAAUUAUCCUGCUCUGCACUGCUGCAUUUACAUUAAAUCAGCCCAUUUCAUUUCC
ensembl:lncRNA